UACGGAGGGUGCAAGCGUUAUUCGGAAUUACUGGGCGUAAAGCGCGUGUAGGCGGGAAGGUAAGUCUGAUGUGAAAACCCUGGGCUCAAACUGGGAAGUGCAUUGUGUAAUGCUUUUCUUGAGUUCUGGAGAGGAUGGGGGAAUUCCCGGUGUAGAGGUGAAAUUCGUAGAGAUCGGGAGGAAUAUCAGUGGCGAAGGCGCCCAUCUGGACGGCAACUGACGCUGAGACGCGAAAGCGUGGGGAGCAAACAGG
rnacentral:rRNA from 1 species